UACGUAGGUUGCGAGCGUUAAUCGGAUUUACUGGGCGUAAAGCGUGCGCAGGCGGCCCGUUAAGACAGGUGUGAAAUCCCUGGGCUCAACCUAGGAAUUGCGCUUGUGACUGGCGGGCUCGAGUACGGUAGAGGGGGGUGGAAUUCCUGGUGUAGCAGUGAAAUGCGUAGAGAUCAGGAGGAACACCGAUGGCGAAGGCAGCCCCCUGGGCCUGUACUGACGCUCAUGCACGAAAGCGUGGGGAGCAAACAGG
rnacentral:rRNA from 1 species